UUGGUGAGAGGGGUGGGUUAGGAAAGGCUUUUUAGGGGUGAUACCAUGAGGGACAGGUAAGAGUUGGCCAGUUUCAGAGAGAUGGGGAAAGGCCCCGGGAGGAGGCCCAGGGGGACAGGGUGUCCUUGGGUACACAUCUGCAGCUAGUGUAGGGUGACCAGAACAGAGAGGGGGAAUGAAAUGAGGAUAGUCUGGGUUUACUUUGAAGGCACUGGGGAGACGCCAGCGGGCUACAAAUAAGCACGCAGUAGGUGCUUAAUAUACGUUUCCUGAUCAGCACACCAUCUGCCUCCUCUAGCAGACUGAGAGUUUCUCAGUGACAGGGUUAUUCCUUCUUUGUAUAGUCCAGUUCCUCCCCGGUAUGCACUAGGACCAGGUAGGGUUUUCAUCAGUGAAUAAGUGAAUGAAAGAGUAAAUAAAUCCACCCGAGAGAUAACAAUACAAAACCAAAUGGAUCUUUUCAUCCAGACAAAAACUACUCUUUGCUCCCCUGGUUCAGGGAAGUGUGGAAGGUUCGGAUGGGCUCUGAGGGGGGUCUAGAGAACAAAGACCCCCAUCCUCCUGGCGCCUCUCAGCCUCUAGCAGGAGGAAUGUGCAUUGGUGCCAUCUGGCGGCCACAGCGCCCACAUUCUAUUUUAAUCCACUUCCUCUGUUGCUAAGGUGUGGUCAGGCCAGAGAAGGGAACCUGGGAUGGGCAGAAACCUUCUGUCAGCAGACACACAUCCCCACCUGCUCAGGCAGCCCCAGGUCUGCCUGUCCUCGCCCUGCAAGACCUGAGCCCUGAGUCCAAGAGAGUAAUUGAUUUCAGCCCAUGGGACAGAGAAGCCCUUAUCUACAGCCACUCAGACCCUGGUGCUUUCCACAAGGGCCCCCACAGUUCUCAGCAGAUGAUGGAUUCCAGGGGUGAAGAAGCCACGGGAAAGGAGGCAAUGACCAGUGUUUUCCCAAUAUCCUUCGUGUCUUCUUCCUGAGAGAACCCUGAUUUUGUCCAGAGCAGCAAUGUACCCAGUUACAAAUUCCAGACACCCUGAUAGCUAGAAAUUGCCAUGAUGCAUGGAUCUGGCCCAUGAGAUACAGGCAGACAUCUAGGUAGGGUUCUAGGAGACCCACUCUUCUGAGUAAAGAAUCACAGACACAGCUGGCCUCUGCCUUUUGCCCCUUCUCUUUAUUUCCCCUCCUCCUGCCUGAAAGGUGGACAAGAUGCCUGCAGGUGAAUUUGCCUGCCCCCCUUCCCCUGCCACCCAUGAGCAUGAGAACCACAUGCUAUGGAUGUGGAUGGUGAAUUGGAAAGCUACAAAUAGUCCACAUCCUUGACGACUUUUCUUAAGUGUCUCCACAGUCAUCCCAGGCUACUGGGCAUGUCUGGGCAGAGACCCUCACUAAAGUUCUUCUCCGAGAGCAGACACUUCUCUUCUUCCUGCUGAAGAACAUGUCUCUCCCUGACCCAUUGCCUAUGUGUCACAAGAGCAUGAGAAAAAUCUCAUUUGUUAAGGGACCAUACGUAGAUUCCUGUUAUAUUGUCAUCCUAACAUAUAGAGGAUAAGGAUAGGGAACCCAAGUGGAACCUGUAUCCGACAUAAAGAACCAGACAGCAUGGGAUUAAGGUGUGUUCAGAGAAAGCCAGCAUAGGUAUUUUCUCCGGGAGCCAGGAAAUGUCUGUUCAAGAUGAACUCUCUUACUGUAAUGACCUUGGGCAAGUCUUUUGCUUCCUAGCACAUUGGAGGCACUUAAAUGCAUACAUAUUUAAAUAUGUUUGUGUGUAUAUAUACAUAUAUAAUGUGUGUACAUAAAUUACAUAUGUGUGUACAGAUUACAGAUUGUUUGUAAUGAAGAGGGUGUUGGAACUAGUUGAGGACCAUGUCCCUACCGGCUGAAUCAUGUUAUGCCUGUAUGGCCAGGGCCCGGAGACAAUGGCAUACCGGAGUGAUUAAGAACACAAGACUCCCAGGGUGCCUGAGUGGCUCAGUCAGGGUGUCAUUACUGUCAUGUGACUGCAGAUGGCGGAUUAGGGCUUAAUGGCAACUAGCGGGGAGCCUGGGGGGCUGUGACGCAAGAAAAGAAGUUUAGCACGGACCUGGGAAUAUGCUCGGGUGGACAGCAGACAAAGAAGCUGAAGCCCAGAGAGAUGAAGAGACCCCUCCCUAGGAACCCUGCUGGGCAGUGGUAGACCCAGAUCCCUGCAGACUCUGAGAGCUGUGCUGUUUCUACGCGCUUCCUCUCUGUUCUCCAUCCCAUGGCUUUCAAAGGAAGUAAACAUACGAAAUGAGCUCCGUGGGCUUCUUUGCUAGGAAAUGACAUCUUUGGUAAGAGUGCUUCGGUCUCACAUCACCAGGGCCGCCAUAUGGAUCAUACGGCCAGAGACAGCCUCCCCCCACUCCACCGGGCAGGGGUGCCCUCUGAGAAUUAAGGCAGCUUUGGGGACCUUUACUCAGCAGGAUAUUGGCAAGAGUUGGCGGCUCCCUUCUCCUUUGUCUCAUCUGCAUCUAGAAUGACGAUCCACUGACGGGUGGUCGCGAAAUGACUAGACAUCCAGUAGAUGUGAAGGCGAUGGUCUUAAACGGAGAGUUUACAUUUCAUGGAAAAUAAUAAUUCUUUAAAAACCCGGUAAAAUAGCAAAAGUGUCAUAUACAGUACACAGGAACACCCUUAUCUCGGGUAACCUCUGCUAUCAAAAAAAGGCCACAAAAAAGAAGUCAAACGUUACUCAGGAUAAAGCACAUACUCCUCCUCCGUUAAGUGUGGGUGGAAGGUGAGCCCAGAAGGCCUGCCAGCACCUCCAUGAGAACUUCCAAGGGCUUCCUGGGGCCCCCAUCCCCCCCCCCCGGGGGGCCCGGGCUCGGGGCCAGACCCCCCUCACCCCAAGCUCAGGAGCCGACUCCCGAAACAAGGCAGCACCAUGGCGUUGGUUUGGUGUUGGGUCAGCUAGCACCGCAUCUCUGAUUCACCCUCGGGACAGAUGCCUGGAGGCAGAAGGGCCACAUGCAGAUGGAAAGAGAAAACUGCAGGUUCGUGCCCCGCUGUUCCCCAGAGUGACUGAGUCCAUCAAAAAGGGGACAGCUGUGAACAGAUGACGCCCUCUCCCCUCUUCCCUUCUUCCAAUACAUUGCUCUUUUGCUAAGAAACACUCCCUGGCCACUUGACUGGGUUUUGUUUAUUUUUUAACGACAGCCCUGGGUGGGGUAAACCAUAGUGUGCUAGGGAUUUCAAAGUGCUCUGGGCUAAGAGGCAUGGGAUCCGACUUGAGGGUCUGACUGGAUCCCUUAGGAGCUGAGAAAACUUGAACAAGAGCGGCCGAAAUACUGAGCCUUGGUGUUCCCACCUGGGGAAUGGGACAGAAACCAGCCCUGCAAUCCUUGCUGGGAAGAUGGGAGGUGACGGGGAUGAAGAGACUUUGUGUAAAACGACUAGAACACCUAGGGAGGAGUUACUCUUCACGGGAGGAUUUGAAGUCGCUUACGGGACCAGAUCCCACCUGUGAUGGGUCGCCCUUCCCCCAUCUCCCUCGCCCCCACCUUAUUGUUCAGCUCCGUUGGAUGCCCUCAGGCCCCGCCUUCCACAGCAGUCCAAGACACCUGCCACUUGGACUUAGCCUUUGAACUGGCCUUUUUACAUAAAAAUAUCAGAAGUCUUCUGAUUCUCCCACUUUUCUCCAAAAAAUGACCCAAGGACACUGACUUAGUAGGGAAACCUCAGGACCUUCAGAGAGAAGACCACUUCCCUGCCCCACCACUCCCCCUGCCCCCAACAUAACCUUCUUCCACAAACUGCAUGAUUGAUUGAUCGGGCUCAGGGACACCCCAGUCUUAUGCAAAGUACCUUCUGGAUGUGAGUUUUCCUACACUCCCAGUAUGAGCAGCCUAUUUAUUUAUUUAUUUAUGGCCCAAGAUUCCUCAAUAGGGGCUUCCUCAGUCACAACAAGAACCUCUGAAUCUAGAUUUCCAAGGAAAGCAUAAGAGACUCAAACCAUAAACAGAAACCCCAAAUAGAUGCCACCAACUUCCCAAACUACAAAUCUGUUCUCUGAGCUGAAACGCACCACCACCACCACCACCAGAGGGCGCCACUUGCAAAUGUGUACCAGAAGUCAACCUGCAAAUUCUCUAAAACCAUCAUCCUGCUCCAUCAGCUCAGAAUAUCUUCCCCUCGACUUGACUGACCAGGUUGCUAUCUGCUUGGCUCCACCAUGCCCUCAGAUGAAAAGUUAAGACCAUCAGGAGAGACAAAGGGAGUUUUCAGGGCCAACUCCCCACCACUUGAGAGCCCUGGUCCGUGCUGGGUGGGAUUCCCAGGGAAGACCUUUGCAGGUGUCUGUGGACAACAGAUAAACAAACAGCCUAUCAGGAUGCCCUUGGGCAUCCAUCUGUCCCUGUGAGGACGGCAGAGAAUUCCAUAGUACAGACACACUUCUGGCCUCGCUGGGUUCCUGUCCCAAGUCCCCCAGAAAGAUCUCAGAAGCCGCAGAUGGGUUUCUGGGCCCCAUGUGCCCGACAGACCAAGCCCUGCACGUGGCCUCUAUGAGCUCAUCUGGUACUUCUGCAAAACCUCCUCACUGCGGCUCAUCUACAUUUUGCCUCGUGACAUCCAUGGCUCUGGACCCUCUGACCACCAGAAGCUGGAAGAAUGUUCCAGAACACGCACAAGUCAGAUUCAGCUUAGCCAGAGUGAAAACUAACCAUGAAGGAUUCUUCUCACAAGCCUCCAAAGCAUCUAUCCAGACCGAUGACCGGAACAAACCAAGCCACGCUCCCUGAUCAAGGUUCAGACACCAGAAUGCUGACUGGGUGGCAAGAGAGAGAGGGGAUCCCCUGCCCCAGACGCAGCCGGCCUUUUUGUUUGUGUUCGGUUUUAUGGUAUCUGGCCAAAAGCGACAUCCUCUCUCUGAUUUGGCGGGCGGGAUUUCUCCUGUGGCCCCAAAGCACAGCAAAGGUAGUGGUGAAUUCUGCCCGAGCUGUGGAUGGAGCUCAGCUUGGGCCAGAUCCCAGGGUGGGUGAGGCUUUCCCAAAGCAAAAGGGGCUCGAUGGAAGUCACUUUUCCUGUUCCCUCCCCUCCUCCUCCCCCUCCAGACUUUCCAAUCCAAGCUCAAAGCCUCCGGGCCAGAUGAACAGAAGGUGAAUAAAAACGAGGUCACUAAAUCAUUUGUAACUGGGGAAAGAGGGGUAGGGAUGGAGAGAACAUCUUUCGGGAGAGGAGUCCCAAGACUGUGUCCGGGGUGGCAGCAAAGCCUUGGACCUGGACGUCGGCACGGCAGGGUCCCUCCUUGGGGCUCAGAUGGCCAGCCAGUGCUGCAGCUGCAGAGAAAGACGGCAGGGUUGUGAUGCCAAGGCCAGAGGCGGGUGGGGACGAGAGGACCCGGGGCCCAGAAGGACAGCGGAAGCACGGGGAGGCAGAGAACACAGCCCCUCCCUCCAAAGACCCCGGAGAACGUGCAGGCUGACUCCCUAACCGUCACUUGGGCCCAGAAAGGGCGAGGAAGCCUCGCAAAGUGGCACAGCGAGUCUGAAGCAGGGGGCUCACCAGGACCCUCCCCCAGCCCCCAACCCCCAGGGUUUUAAAGUUAAAGGACUUAGGUCAUCCUGUGGCUCAUCCUGCGAGAUAAGAGAUCCCCAGCCUAGGGUGACAACUUACAGAGAGGAAAUAAAGCUUCGGAAAGGCUGGA